rnacentral:rRNA from 1 species
UGGGGAAUAUUGCACAAUGGGCGCAAGCCUGAUGCAGCCAUGCCGCGUGUGUGAAGAAGGCCUUCGGGUUGUAAAGCACUUUCAGCGAGGAGGAAGGCGGUGGACUUAAUACGUUCAUCAAUUGACGUUACUCGCAGAAGAAGCACCGGCUAACUCCGUGCCAGCAGCCGCGGUAAUACGGAGGGUGCAAGCGUUAAUCGGAAUUACUGGGCGUAAAGCGCACGCAGGCGGUUUGUUAAGUCAGAUGUGAAAUCCCCGGGCUCAACCUGGGAACUGCAUUUGAAACUGGCAAGCUAGAGUCUCGUAGAGGGGGGUAGAAUUCCAGGUGUAGCGGUGAAAUGCGUAGAGAUCUGGAGGAAUACCGGUGGCGAAGGCGGCCCCCCUGGACGAAGACUGACGCUCAGGUGCGAAAGCGUGGGGCAGCAAACAGGAUUAGAUACCCUGGUA